AAUNCAUGAUGAGGAUAGACGGCGACGUACUCCUGCAGACGUUCCCAUGCCUCGGGGAUGGAUUUAUCCCUCGUCUGCUAGAAGCUUGAAAUUCUUCUGCGAAG
rnacentral:snoRNA from 1 species